AGAAUAGAUACCUCCAAGGUGAUCUCCAAGUUCUUCCUCAGUCUUGAGGUUUGGGAUUCCCGGUUUUUGUCAGUAGAAUUGUGAGAGUAAUAGAUACCUCCAAGGUGAUCUCCAAGUUCUUCCUCAGUCUUGAGGUGUGGGAUUCCCGGUUUGUGUAAGCAGAAUUGUGAGAGUGAUACAUACCUCCACGGUGAUUUCAGAGUUCUUCCUCAGUCCUGAGGUUUGGGAUUCCCGGUUUGUGUCAGUAGAAUUGCGAGAGUG
rnacentral:lncRNA from 1 species